AUUGAACGCUGGCGGCAGGCCUAACACAUGCAAGUCGAGCGGAUGAAGGGAGCUUGCUCCUGGAUUCAGCGGCGGACGGGUGAGUAAUGCAUAGGAAUCUGCCUGGUAGUGGGGGAUAACGUCCGGAAACGGGCGCUAAUACCGCAUACGUCCUGAGGGUGAAAGUGGGGGAUCUUCGGACCUCACGCUAUCAGAUGAGCCUAGGUCGGAUUAGCUAGUUGGUGGGGUAAAGGCCUACCAAGGCGACGAUCCGUAACUGGUCUGAGAGGAUGAUCAGUCACACUGGAACUGAGACACGGUCCAGACUCCUACGGGAGGCAGCAGUGGGGAAUAUUGGACAAUGGGCGAAAGCCUGAUCCAGCCAUGCCGCGUGUGUGAAGAAGGUCUUCGGAUUGUAAAGCACUUUAAGUUGGGAGGAAGGGCAGUAAGUUAAUACCUUGCUGUUUUGACGUUACCAACAGAAUAAGCACCGGCUAACUUCGUG
rnacentral:rRNA from 1 species